UACAGAGGUCUCAAGCGUUGUUCGGAUUCAUUGGGCGUAAAGGGUGCGUAGGUGGCGCGGUAAGUCGGGUGUGAAAUCUCGGGGCUUAACUCCGAAACUGCAUUCGAUACUGCCGUGCUUGAGGACUGGAGAGGGGACUGGAAUUUACGGUGUAGCGGUGAAAUGCGUAGAUAUCGUAAGGAAGACCAGUGGCGAAGGCGGGUCUCUGGACAGUUCCUGACGCUGAGGCACGAAGGUCAGGGGAGCAAACGGG
rnacentral:rRNA from 1 species